rnacentral:lncRNA from 1 species
AGUGCUCCUUGGGGUACGCAAGUUCUUAUUUUGCACUCGCGAAUAUUUGGUCGGCGUGUGAUUCGAGUAAAGGUGAUUUUUUCUCUCGGACAGAAUCGGAAAGUCGUCGUAAGAAUGUGGGAUCAGCAUAAAAUUGUGUCGUAUAAUUAAGGUUUUUAAUACAUUAUUUCUGAGGGGGUUUUGCCUGGACCAAACCGAUGCAUUGUAAAAUGCGGGUCGUCACAAAACUGGGGGACGUAUAGUCGAGGUUCCACUGUACUGGAUUUACGUAUUCAUCAAGAAAAUGAAAAUGCUUGAUGUAAUAGACACUUGUUCAUUGUUUUCUUGGUGCUUUCAAUAAUUCGGCAUUCAGUUAAUUUGGACAUUUUUUCUGGCCCCAUGAAAUCCGAUUAAUGAGCUUUUACUGUACAGGAAAAUUUUUUUCUUCUUCUUAGUGUCUGUUUAUUUGACCGAACUCAGUGUGAGGCACUUCAGUCCUAUGAACAGUGUGGAGUUGCCGGGCUCCUUUUAUUACACUGUUGAGAACUGCAACCU